GCUGAUGACCGCUAGCAGGGGUUAGCUGAUGACCGCUAGCGGGGGUUAGCUGAUGACCGCUAGCGGGCGUUAGCUGAUGACCGCUAGCGGGGGUUAGCUGAUGACCGCUAGCAGUGGUUAGCUGAUGACCGCUAGCGGUGGUUAGCUGAUGACCGCUAGCAGUGGUUAGCUGAUGACCGCUAGCAGGGGUUAGCUGAUGACCGCUAGCAGGGGUUAGCUGAUGACCGCUAGCAGUGGUUAGCUGACUGGUAGCUGGUAGCUCGUUAGCUAGCUAGCUUCAGUUGAGAAAUUCCAGUUCCGAUGUAAGUAGAAAUACUUUAGAGAAAAAAAACAGAUCGACGCCACAUUGGGUGAGGCGGGUUGCAGGAGAGUAUUUACAAGUUGAGGUUUAGGAAAAAUAUUAAAAAGAAAUGUGAAGAAAAAGAUAUUAAAAGAUAUAUACACGGGACGAGACAAGACAAAGACAAAGAUGUCUGACUGCUACGCCAUAUUGGAUGAGGUACGUGGUUGCAAAGGGCAUCAGUGUCUUAACAGCACGAUUUGCCAAGGCAGGAUACUCUGAGCACAGCCCAAUCCAGAAAUCUGUCAGUGGCUUCUGAUUAAAUUAAAUUUUCACAGAAGCGCUUGUUGCAAUUUCGAUGAGGCUCUCUUGUUCAGAUAUCAGUAAGUGGACUGGCGGCAGGGCAUGAAAGGAUAACGAAUCCGUUUCGUGAUAGUACCUGCGUAAAUGCGCACCCAACUCACUCAGGUGCUUCGCUAUAUCACAUUUGACAUUGUCCGUAAGCUUGAGUUAAUUUGCACAAAAAAAAAAAUCAUACAGAAAUCAUACAAUGAUGGAAAGACCUGUGUGUUGUCCUUGUUAAUGCAGACAGAGAAGAGCUCCAACUUCUUAAUCAUAGCCUCAAUUUUGUCCUGCACAUUGAAUAUAGUUGUGGAGAGUCCCUGUAAUCCUAGAUUCAGAUCAUUCAGGUGCGAAAGAAACGUCACCCAGACAGGCCAGUCGUGUGAGAAACUCCUCAUCAUGAAGAUGAUGUACUCAUUUCACUUUGAAUGCUUAGCAGGACAGGAGCCUGGUCUAAUUCACACACUUAUCAAGAGAACAUCCCUGGUCAUCCCUACUGCUCGGAUCUGACAGACUCACUAAACACAAAUGCUUCAUUUGUAAAUGGUGUCUGAGUGUUGGAGUGAGCCCCUGGCUAGC
rnacentral:lncRNA from 1 species